rnacentral:rRNA from 1 species
UACGGGGGGAGCAAGCGUUGUUCGGAUUUACUGGGCGUAAAGGGCGCGUAGGCGGUCAGCACAAGUCAGUUGUGAAAUCUCCGGGCUUAACUCGGAAAGGUCAACUGAUACUGUGCGACUAGAGUGCGGAAGGGGCAACUGGAAUUCCAGGUGUAGCGGUGAAAUGCGUAGAUAUCUGGAGGAACACCGGUGGCGAAGGCGGCAUCCUGGACCGACACUGACGCUGAGGAGCGAAAGCCAGGGGAGCAAACGGG